UACAGAGGUCUCGAGCGUUAGGCGGAAUCACUGGGCUUAAAGCGUGUGUAGGCGGAUCGGUAAGUACCUUGUGAAAUCCCACGGCUUAACCGUGGAACUGCUUGGUGUACUGCCAGUCUUGAGCCAGCUAGGGGCUACCGGAACAAAUGGUGGAGCGGUGAAAUGCGUAGAUAUCAUUUGGAACGCCAAUGGUGAAAACAGGUAGCUGGGGCUGUGCUGACGCUGAGACACGAAAGCCAGGGGAGCAAACGGG
rnacentral:rRNA from 1 species